UACGAAGGGGGCUAGCGUUGUUCGGAAUCACUGGGCGUAAAGGGCGCGUAGGCGGCCAUAUAAGUCGGGGGUGAAAGCCUGUGGCUCAACCACAGAAUUGCCUUCGAUACUGUAUGGCUCGAGACCGGAAGAGGUAAGUGGAACUGCGAGUGUAGAGGUGAAAUUCGUAGAUAUUCGCAAGAACACCAGCGGCGAAGGCGGCUUACUGGUCCGGUUCUGACGCUGAGGCGCGAAAGCGUGGGGAGCAAACAGG
rnacentral:rRNA from 1 species